AUCUCACACAUAUUUUCCGCGAACUCGAUCGAUCAGCAUCGUCACACUCUAUAGGGGGAAGAAAGAAAGAAAGAAAAAGCCACCACGAAAACACAAACAAUUCUCUCCGAAUUUUCCUUAUUUUCUUCUUAAUCCUAACCACUAAUUUCCCUUCUCUUUCGCACCCUUUCCAUUCUCAUUCCCUCAUCUUAAUUAGGGUUCCUCUCCUCAUUCCUCUUCAUUCUAUUUCUCAACUAACGCUCUCGUUUUUCUUCGAUUCUCUUUUAUCAUCUUUUCUUUUUCAAUCCCAAUCAUCACCACUAAAAAAAACAACAAAAAAUAUUGCUACAAAAAAUUUCGUUGUUUUGGUUUUCAUUUCUGGAAGAAAAAAAAUACGAUUUGUUUUUCUUCAUCUGAUUCGAUUAUAG